rfam:Octopus bimaculoides Scaffold30393_contig_96, whole genome shotgun sequence.
UUUCUUGGUUCGGCAGUAAAAAACACUAAAAUUGUAAGGAUUCAAAGAAGGUUAGCAUGGCCACUUCCUAAAAUGAUACACAAAUUCGUAAAGCAUAAUUUACUUUU